GGUAAAGUGGCUCAGUGGUAGAGUGCUUGCCUUGCAUGCAUGAGGACCUUGGUUUGAUUCUUUAGCA
rnacentral:tRNA from 1 species